rnacentral:ncRNA from 1 species
CUUAUCAAGAGUGGUGGAGGGAACGGCCCUGUGAAGCCCGGCAACCUGCGUGAACGCAAGGUGCCAAUUCCGGCGGUGAGACGAAAGAUGAG